CCUACGGGUGGCAGCAGUGAGGAAUAUUGGUCAAUGGACGAGAGUCUGAACCAGCCAAGUAGCGUGAAGGAUGACUGCCCUAUGGGUUGUAAACUUCUUUUAUAAAGGAAUAAAACGAGGCACGUGUGCCUGUUUGCAUGUACUUUAUGAAUAAGGAUCGGCUAACUCCGUGCCAGCAGCCGCGGUAAUACGGAGGAUCCGAGCGUUAUCCGGAUUUAUUGGGUUUAAAGGGAGCGUAGAUGGGUUGUUAAGUCAGUUGUGAAAGUUUGGGGCUCAACCAUAAAAUUGCAAUUGAUACUGGAAGACUUGAGUGCAGUUGAGGUAGGCGGAAUUCGUGGUGUAGCGGUGAAAUGCUUAGAUAUAACGAAGAACCCCGAUUGCGAAGGCAGCUUACUAACCUGUGACUGACAUUGAUGCACGAAAGUGUGGGGAUCAAACAGGAUUAGAUACCCGUGUAGUC
rnacentral:rRNA from 1 species